rnacentral:rRNA from 1 species
UGGUGGAGCGAUUUGUCUGGUUAAUUCCGAUAACGAACGAGUCUCUGGCCUAUUAAAUAGUUCGCCGAUUCCGAUCUGUCGGCGUUAACUUCUUAGAGGGACAAGUGGCUUUUAGCCACGCGAGAUUGAGCAAUAACA